rnacentral:rRNA from 1 species
UACGUAGGGCGCAAGCGUUGCUCGGAAUCACUGGGCGUAAAGCGCACGUAGGCGGACUCUUAAGUCAGGGGUGAAAUCCUGGAGCUCAACUCCAGAACUGCCUUUGAUACUGGGAGUCUUGAGUUCGGGAGAGGUGAGUGGAACUGCGAGUGUAGAGGUGAAAUUCGUAGAUAUUCGCAAGAACACCAGUGGCGAAGGCGGCUCACUGGCCCGAUACUGACGCUGAGGUGCGAAAGCUGGGGGAGCAAACAGG